UGGGGGUAUAUAAUAUAUCAUAUCUCACUCCUCCAUCAUCUGUGUCCUAUGGGCAUAGACAUAAUACCCAUGGUGUGCAGAUGUGCCGUAUGAUAACCCACUAGAUAAGUACUCAAAAACAUAUCUCAAAAUCUCAUAUUCAAACAUCGAAGCUCAAAAACUCAAACCUCGUCUCAUAAAUCCAUAAUCAUUCGUAAUCUUAACUUCGUAAAAUAAUUCAUAUUCGUAAGCCAUGGAAAUAGCCAUAUUCAAAUCCAUAGGAAUUCAUAUAUGCAAAUCCGACAUUUCAUAACCUUUAAUAAAACGUAGUUCAAUAUAUCAUAAUAUUUAGUAAAGCAAUUUAAUUAAAUCAUGAAUUUUAUGUAACCCAUAAUCAUAGAAAUCCGAAACGCAUAAUAUAAAACAUAUUCGAUGCAUGAAUAUGAAAUGCAUGCUAGAUCAAUAUUUUAUAAAAAUAUAUAAGUUUAGAAGGGAUCCACCCAUUGAUUUUAUUGCCCGAAGCCGCUCGAACUAUCAAGGAUGUCAUCCUUUCCCGCUACCGCGCCUAAACAAAAAUUGGGACCUUUUAGUAAAACUAUACUAAAACAUUAUAAUUUGGGAAAAAAGAUGGCAGAUUCGGAUUCGGCAUGUUGAGG
rnacentral:lncRNA from 1 species